rnacentral:rRNA from 1 species
CCUACGGGAGGCAGCAGUGAGGAAUAUUGGUCAAUGGUCGGGAGACUGAACCAGCCAAGCCGCGUGAGGGAUGAAGGUACAGAGUAUCGUAAACCUCUUUUGUCAGGGAACAAAGGCGGGGACGUGUCCCCGGAUGAGUGUACCUGAAGAAAAAGCAUCGGCUAACUCCGUGCCAGCAGCCGCGGUAAUACGGAGGAUGCGAGCGUUAUCCGGAUUUAUUGGGUUUAAAGGGUGCGCAGGCGGGCUGUUAAGUCAGCGGGCAAAGCCCGGGGCUCAACCCCGGCCCGCCGUUGAAACUGGCAGUCUCGAGUUGGAGAGAAGUAUGCGGAAUGCGCGGUGGAGCGGUGAAAUGCAUAGAUAUCGCGCAGAACUCCGAUUGCGAAGGCAGCAUGCCGGCUCCACACUGACGCUGAGGCACGAAAGCGUGGGUAUCGAACAGGAUUAGAUACCCCUGUAGUC